rnacentral:rRNA from 1 species
ACCAGACUCCUACGGGAGGCAGCAGUGAGGAAUAUUGGUCAAUGGCCGAAGGGCUGAACCAGCCAAGCCGCGUGAAGGAAUAAGGCCCUACGGGUCGUAAACUUCUUUAGUCAGGGAACAAAGGGUGCCACGUGUGGCGCUGUGAGUGUACCUGAAGAAUAAGCAUCGGCUAACUCCGUGCCAGCAGCCGCGGUAAUACGGAGGAUGCGAGCGUUAUCCGGAUUUAUUGGGUUUAAAGGGUGCGUAGGCGGAAUGCCAAGUCAGCGGUAAAAUCGCGGGGCUCAACCUCGCUCCGCCGUUGAAACUGGCGUUCUUGAGUGGGCGAGAAGUAUGCGGAAUGCGUGGUGUAGCGGUGAAAUGCUUAGAUAUCACGAAGAACUCCGAUUGCGAAGGCAGCAUACGGCAGCGCUACUGACGCUGAAGCUCGAAGGCGCGGGUAUCGAACAGGAUUAGAUACCCGAGUAC